rnacentral:lncRNA from 1 species
GGGGUUUUUCUGGUGCUGGUUUGAGGAACAGUUAAGAAAAGGGUAGUGUAUAAUCUGUUAUAGUAGGCUUGUCAUCCGAUUCGUAGGCUCAGAGCUGCUGUGGGGUGCUGAGUUCUGGGUGAGUCACUUCCCUCUCUGUUUCCCGUAAUGGAGAAAGAGAAGAUGAGCUGUUCGUAAAUUCCCAACAGGACAGUUUUCCCCAACUACUGACACCAUGCUAUUUGUUUUGGAGAGUGAUCCACUUCUCCAGGAUUUCUUUCAUGACUGCUUUGAAGCAUGGUAAGAAUGGCUUUUUCCUCAUCCGUUCUUUUUAUGCAUGAACCUUGAGUUAAAUUUACUGUUUUAACAUCCACUCACUGAAUAAAUUUUAGGUUUCAUUUUUGGGAAUGGCUUUG